rnacentral:rRNA from 1 species
UACGGAGGAUCCAAGCGUUAUCCGGAAUCAUUGGGUUUAAAGGGUGCGUAGGUGGGCAGGUAAGUCAGUGGUGAAAUCUCCGAGCUUAACUCGGAAACUGCCAUUGAUACUAUCUGUCUUGAAUUAUCUGGAGGUGAGCGGAAUAUGUCAUGUAGCGGUGAAAUGCUUAGAUAUGACAUAGAACACCAAUUGCGAAGGCAGCUCACUACGGAUAUAUUGACACUGAGGCACGAAAGCGUGGGGAUCAAACAGG